GUGGCGUUUCCUUCUUCACUAGAUGACGUGGCUUUUCGACGGCGAAGUACUGACUUAGAAUCGAGGCAUACAAUCCCGACGUCCAGGCACUUCCGCAUUGGCAUCUUUGAGUCCUCUUGGUGUAUGACCCACUCCUUGGUUUCAUUCAAUUUUAUAUUAUUUUCUUUUAGUGUUCUAGAUUAGUGGUGUGCUCUGAACACGGUCCUUAUUUGCAUAUUCAUUAUUCUUUUAUAUUUAUAAGCCUUAU